rnacentral:rRNA from 1 species
CCUACGGGAGGCAGCAGUGGGGAAUAUUGGGCAAUGGGCGCAAGCCUGACCCAGCAACGCCGCGUGAAGGAAGAAGGCUUUCGGGUUGUAAACUUCUAUUGACAGGGAAGAGCAGAAGACGAUACGUGUCGAAUGAGCCACCGCUAACCACGUGCCAGCAGCCGCGGUAAUACGGAGGGGGCAAGCGUUCUCCGGAUUUACUGGGUGUAGAGGGCGUGUAGACGGGCUGAAAAGUCAGGUGUGAAACCCGGGGGCUCAACCCCCGAACUGCAUUUGAAACUGUUGGUCUUGAGUAUCGGAGGGGCAGGCGGAAUUCCUAGUGUAGCGGUGAAAUGCGUAGAUAUUAGGAGGAACACCAGUGGCGAAGGCGGCCUGCUGGACGACAACUGACGGUGAGGCGCGAAAGCGUGGGGAGCAAACAGGAUUAGAUACCCCGGUAGUC